GCCAGGCAUGGUAGUGCACACCUGUAAUCCCAGCUGCUUGGGAGGCUGAGGCAGGAGGAUCUUGAGUUCAAACUAGCCUUAGAAAAAACUAGAUGCUAAGCAACUCAAUGAGACCAUGUCUCUA
rnacentral:sRNA from 1 species